UGGGGGAUAUUGCACAAUGGGCGCAAGCCUGAUGCAGCGACGCCGCGUGAGCGAAGAAGUAUUUCGGUAUGUAAAGCUCUAUCAGCAGGGAAGAAAAUGACGGUACCUGACUAAGAAGCUCCGGCUAAAUACGUGCC
rnacentral:rRNA from 1 species